rnacentral:rRNA from 1 species
UACGUAGGGUGCGAGCGUUAAUCGGAAUUACUGGGCGUAAAGCGUGCGCAGGCGGUUCGGAAAGAAGGAUGUGAAAUCCCAGGGCUUAACCUUGGAACUGCAUUUUUAACUACCGAGCUAGAGUAUGUCAGAGGGGGGUAGAAUUCCACGUGUAGCAGUGAAAUGCGUAGAGAUGUGGAGGAAUACCGAUGGCGAAGGCAGCCCCCUGGGAUAAUACUGACGCUCAUGCACGAAAGCGUGGGGAGCAAACAGG